rnacentral:rRNA from 1 species
GACGUAGGGCGCGAGCGUUGUCCGGAUUUAUUGGGCGUAAAGAGCUCGUAGGCGGCUUGUCGCGUCGUCCGUGAAAACCUGUGGCUCAACUGCAGGCUUGCGGUCGAUACGGGCAGGCUGGAGUUCGGUAGGGGAGACUGGAAUUCCUGGUGUAGCGGUGAAAUGCGCAGAUAUCAGGAGGAACACCGGUGGCGAAGGCGGGUCUCUGGGCCGAUACUGACGCUAAGGAGCGAAAGCGUGGGGAGCGAACAGG